rnacentral:rRNA from 1 species
GACGAACGCUGGCGGCGUGCUUAACACAUGCAAGUCGAACGAUGAAGCUAGAGCUUGCUCUGGUGAAUUAGUGGCGAACGGGUGAGUAACACGUGAGUAACCUGCCCCGAACUCUGGGAUAACUGCUGGAAACGGUAGCUAAUACUGGAUACGACCUACGAAGGCAUCUUCUGGUAAGGUGGAAAGAAUUUCGGUUCGGGAUGGACUCGCGGCCUAUCAGCUUGUUGGUGAGGUAAUGGCUCACCAAGGCGACGACGGGUAGCCGGCCUGAGAGGGUGACCGGCCACACUGGGACUGAGACACGGCCCAGACUCCUACGGGAGGCAGCAGUGGGGAAUAUUGCACAAAUGGGCGCAAGCCUGAUGCAGCAACGCCGCGUGAGGGAUGACGGCCUGGU